GAAUUUUAAAAAUCCAUACAUCAACUCAUAUUUCUCUAAAAAUUAAUUAUUAAUCAGCCAUUAUAAGAAAAAAAAGAAAGAGAAAGCAAGCAAGCAAGGAAGAAAGAAAGAAAGGAAGGAAGGAAGGAAGGAAGGAAGGAAGGAAAGAAUAAAUAAAUAAAGGAAAGAAAGAAAGAAAGAGAAGAAAAAGGAAAAGAAAGAAAGACAGAGAGAAAGAAAGGAAGGAAGGGGGAGGGUCAGAGGGAAGGAAAGAAGAAAGAGUGAGUCAGACAAGGAGAUGUGAGUUAGCUUUGUAAAUAUCCAUAAUCCAUUUUUAACUAUAACUAAGAAAUCACGUUGUCCAAGGCCUUGGGAGUCCACUCCUUGUACCAGUAUGCCUUGGAUGUUGGACACGAAAUCAAAAGAGAUUAUUUUGGAGCUUUAAGUUUUAAUGACUGCCUUGCUGGGAUUCAAACUUGCUUGGGGCCUGUAUCUUCUUUCUUUUGGUCAAUUUCUCCCUUUUUGAACAGGAAUGCUUACCCAAUUCCUAUACCUCCAUUGUAUCUUGGAAGUAAAUAACCUGAUUUUUAUUUUACAGGAUCAUAGAUGGAAGGGACUUGCCUUGUCUCAGACAGGACUUGGGACUUUUGAGUCAAUGCUGGAAUCAGUUAAGAAUUUAGGGGACUGUUGGGAAGGCAUGAUACCAUUUUGAAAUGUCAAAAGGGCAUGAGAUUUUCAAAGGGCCAGAGCAGAAUGAUAUACUUUUCAGAAUGAUAUCCCCCAAAUAUCAUGUUGAAUUGUAAUCCCCAAUGCUGGGGUGAGGUCUUGUGGGAGGUGUUUGGAUCAUGGAGGCAGAUCUCUCAUGACUUGGUACUUACUUCAUGAUAGUGAGUUCUCAUGGGAUCUAGUCCUUUAAAAGUGUGUGGCACCUCCUCUGCUCACUCUCUUUCUUGCUCCUGCUUUUACCAUGUGACGUGCCAGCUCUCCCUUUACCUUCUGCCAUGUUUGGGAGCUUCCUGAGGCCUUCCCAGAAGCAGAUGCCAGUAUGCUGCCUGUACAACCUGCAGAACUCUGGAGCCAUCGCAUGAAUAUGUACACUUUAAAAUUCACAAAAGGACAUUCUCACAGGUUCACUGGAGCUUAAUGAGUAGUUAAUAUAUCUGCACCGAAGUGACAGUUCACAGGUUCCAGGAUAACCAGAUGACUGAGGAAUGUUGAAGAUUGCAGUGAUGGAAGUGCCUCAGUCAGCCUGGAAGACUGUAUGGAUGGAGGUUGCCUGGCCACACUGUCAUGUCCCUCUCUCCCUGAAAAAGAGACACAUUUGCCUUUGGGCAAGGCAAUACAUACAUUUGGUCUAUGUAUACACUUUGGUCUAUGCAUUCUGUUAUUUAACAUUCUAAUAAUGUUGAUGACCUUAAAAUAUGCUUGACAAUGAUCCGUGUAAAUCAUUAUUAUUCUGCCUUCUGCAAGAUAAGAAUUAUGGGCCAGGUAUGGCACUUAACGCCUAUAAUACAAACAUUUUGGAAGGCCAAGGCAGGAGGAUUGCUUGAGCUCAGGAGUUAGAGACCAGCUUGGGCAACAUAGUGAGACCUCAUCUCUACUAAAAAUAAAACAAAAAAAGUUAUGAGAGUGACACUGCACUCCAGCUUGGGUGACAGAGCGAGAUCCUGUAUCCAAAUAAAUAAAUAUCUAAUAUAGGAAUUAUCAAAUUCAACACAUAUUAAUUAUUUUCAUAUCCAUUUAUGGAAAAUAAUAAUGUGGGGAUGAUUCUUAAAAGGGAUUCUGGAAGUGGUUUCUUCAAUUAAAUAUAUUCAAAACUCAUUCCCGCUUACUACACAAAUCAAAGAGGAAUUGAAAAUGUGUGUGAUUCCCACUAAAUUAUUUUCCUUUCAUAUGGCUUGAUGUUACUGUCUUUGUGGAGUGGCUGAGAAAUGUCUCCUUCUUGCCUUUAUCUUCAAAGGCUCUGCCAAUGUGAAGUACAGGAGAGAGAGGCAAGAGCAGGGCCCACUAGUGGAAUCAUCUCAGCCUUAUUCCCCAGGGGAAAACACAUUCUUUUUCACUUUCCUGAGCUGCCUUAUCUGAUAAAAAUGAUUCUUACAUCUCCCAGCAAUGCCUUCUGAUUGUAAUGUAGUUUAUGCCACUGGUUUGCCUAUUUCUCAAAUAUAAACCUACACGCAUGUACACACAUUUGGCCUUAGCCUUUCUAAUUCCACUCUCAUCAGGACAGAUUGCACACCUGUAAACAUUCUUAGAUCAACUCCAGUAAUCAAUCCACAUUCAUGUAACCCCUGCAGAAUAAAGAUCAUUGGAGACCUUCAAGAUUGACUUCCCAUUUAAACCGUAAGAAAACAAGACCCCAAUGUGUCAGCUGCAGAACCACAAUAAGGACCUAAGUCCCAUGUCUUAUUGUUCAGUGGUUUUUCUAAGUCACUGUAAAAUUUUUCUACAUUCCUGGCCUGAGAACAGAAGUACCUUUUGCUUAUCUAUUCAAUUAAAUUCAGUAGUUGGUAAAUGUGAAUAAAGGAAAUCAAAACACUAUUGAAGAUUAUUUAGAUAUGGCUGAGAAGUGGGGUGAACAAACCUGACCCACUUUAACUUAGAGAUUCAAAAUAUAAACUUAACUCAGUUGCAGUCAACAACCUGACAUUAAAUGCAAACAUACAAGUAAAGAACCCAAGUAAACAGAAAAAACUAACCUGCUACCUACCUUUAAACACUAAAUAUAGAGCUCCUGUCGUCCUGUUUCUUACUGAUUUAUAACUUCAAAUAAUGGGUCAAGAAAAAAGCUACAUAUAUGAAAAGAUGAGAUCUGCGUUUCAAUCCAAAUCUUUCUUUCAAUAACCCUACUACUUGAAACCAUAGAAGGAGACAGGAACUUCCUCCCUUGUUUCUUUUUUCUUUUUCAAAACUACCCACUAAUCUUUUAAUUAAAAGUGAAUGAUGGAGAGAUGGCAAGUGAGCAGGAGAAGCUGAGGAACACAGCUCCCUUAUGUAUUUGCACAACGCUAAUCACUCUUCACAUCUUACAGAGAGAUCUGUACUAGUUACAUGGAAUCUAAUCUGUUCUACUAAAGCUGAUGCUGUCAGCUGCCAUGCUUAGCUCUCAUUCAUUAUGCUUGUAGACACAUUUUGAGAAAAUACAUUAUCUAGAAGAGAAACUUCUAAGAAGGUUUUAUAUACUAUAUGAUGCUAAUAUUUUAGAUAAUGUUUUAUGCUAGUUUAAUCUUUGUGUAUUGAAAGAACUCUGAUUUUCCUGGAAGUCCCUAGACAGUACAUUUAAUUAAUCUUACCUCUCAGUUCAACAAGUUGCCUUUUACUUUAGUCAUAUAAUCAAUCUCUUGGUAAUAAUAUAUAGUGAUAUCCAGGCAUGUAUGAUGCAAGCAAGUUUUUAGUUUAAAGCUAAGGAAUUAAAAUGAAAACAAUACAUAGUGCUCUCUGUACAACAAUGACUGAGAAUAGGUAGUCGUGCUCUUUAUAUACAAGGCACUGUGCUGAGCAUAUUUUGUAAGUUAUUGCCAUGAUUCCAUGUAAUUAUGUAUUAUAAUUUUACCUUUGAAGAAGAUAAGCCUCAAAAAUGGCAAGCAGUUCACCCACCCACAUUUAAAUGUCUGUUACACCUCUGAGAUAUACAACCCAUGAAUUCUACCAUUAUUCACUCUGUCUGUCAACUCCAUUCUGUCUUCAUGUACCUCCCAGCCCAAUUGAUGUGUCAAGGCAUUGGAUUUAAUUCAUUCACUCCAGAAAUAUUUAUCACAUGCUUAUAGGUGCUUGGCUCUCUUCUAGGUGCCCAAGUCACAUCAGUGAAAAAAAAAAAUAAACAAGAUCCUCAUCCUCAUCAAGCUUAUAUUUAUUUCCCAACAUCUGAUUUCAAUUUCCUUGCCAUGCACUCCUUUCAUCAUAGAAGCCUUACAAAAUCCCCAAUCCAAUUGAAUCUAAUUCUGUGCUUCAUGUUUCUCACCCUCGCUUGGUAAAACCCACAACUGUGCUUGCCGGAUUUUACCAUAAAUUACUAACCAUGAACUUCAAGUGGUCUAUUAGUGAUCAGUACCAACGCUUUAAUAGUUGUCUGCUCCUUUGACUCUUUCACAUUCCUAAAAGAUUUUCCAUUUUUCUCUGUCUCCUUCCAGCAACUCCUGGCCAAUUCUUAUCUCACCUAAUGACUUUGAUUCUUAUUAUACAAAGACAAUAGUAAAAAUCAGAAGAGUACUUAUACAAACUACCACCAUGAAAAUCAUCACUCUACCUGUAUCUCUCCCGACUCUUGAUCAUCCUUCCUACCACUGUGGAGAAAUUUUUCUGUGCAUUUUUGUUCUCAGUACUGCUGAAGAUUUUUUCCAUGCUUCUGUCCAAGGAGGGCAUCUCUUCACUAGAUCCCAGUUGUAUCAUUCUAGCAUUGGCGCUUAUUUUCUCGCAUAUCACUGGCUUUCCAAUUUUUCCCUUUUAAAAGGAUAAUUCUUAUAAAUUUACAGCUAUAAUAGAUAACAGAAAAAAGCCUCUCUUGAUCCAAGGUCUCCUUCCGUUUCCCACCCCAUUUAUCUCUUUUUCUUUACAUUAAAGUUUUUCCAACUGUUUCCAGUUUCUCCCACAGAAUUCUCUCCUUAAUCUAGCCCUGGAAGACUCUCAGGCCUAUGACUUCAAAAUGAGAUCCUCCACCCAGACCAUUAUUGAUCUCAAAGUUGCUAAGUUCAGGUAAAUUCCUGGUACUUGUCUUACUUGACCUCUGUGGUGCUUAAAUUAGCUGAUCCCUUUCCUUCUUGAAACACAUUGUCCAGUUUAUUUCCAGGAUGCCAUUUUCUUGAUUCUUCUCAUGAGAUUCUGCUCAGAUUUCUUUGUUUGAUCUUUCUCAACUCUCCAGCCUUUGAAAUUUGGGAUGCACUAAAACUCAGUCCAUUGAUAUUUCCUUUUAAAAAUGCCCAUUGCCCUACUGAACACAUCUAGUCUCGUAUCAUCUACACAUGGAUGAUUUCCCAAUUUAUAUUUCCACAUUUAAAUGCCUACUCUAAAUAUUUGCAUGGCUAUCUAAAAAGCAUCUCAAAUGUAACAUGCCCAUAUUUGAUCUCCCUCAUACUUCCCUCUUCCAAUAAAAUUUUCAAGUCUUCUUCUCAGUAAUGGUAAAUACUCUCUACGGCCAUAUCAUCCUGAACAUGCACAAUCUCAUUAACAAUGGCAAAUACUUUCUUCCAGAUGCUGAUGUGGAAAACCUAAUGUUCAUCCUUGAUUAAUAUUUUUCUCUUACAUCACAUAUCUCACCCACCCCUGUACCACCUGUUUCAAGCCAUCAUCACUUUACACCUGCAUUAUUGCAAUAUCCUCCUAAGAAGCUGCUCUUUUUUUUCACCACCUCCAACAUCAGCUCGUAACACAGCAGCCAAAAUGACCAUUUUAAAAUAAAAGUUAGAUCCUCUCUCUCUCUCAGUAUAAACGCUCUUUCUCAGAGUAAAAGCCAGGUCUAACAAUGGCACCUCAUAAUUGUCCAUCUUAUCUCCUGACCUCAUUUCUUACCUCUCUCCUUCUCUAGCUCUUUUCCUUAUACCCUGGAAUCCUUGAACUUGAUCCAGACUCAGGACCUCUUCCUGGAACAUUCUACUCUCUGAUAGCUCUAGAACUAGAAUAUAAGGUAAAUAACACUUGCUGAUUUGAAAAAUAUACUACAAACCUAAGUGGUUUAAUACAAUAUCUUUUUUUUUUUUUUUUUGGCUAAUAUUACAGUCCAGUGAGAAUAUGACAGCACCUCUGGUUAGCUCUCUUCUAAGCAGAGAUUAAGUCCUUGAUUUUGGUCCUAAAGAGAGAAAGAAAAAGCAAGGAGAAGAGUACAGUGAGUUUUAAGAGUCUGACCUGUAAAUGGCCUACAUUUUUCCUUCCCACAUUUCAACAACUACUGCUCAGUCUCAUGACUAAUCUAUCUGCAAAGAGAUAAAUUCAGAAGCACAAAGCUAGCCUAAAUAUUAGAAUGCCCCCCCCCCCCAGAUCUCUGCCACAUUAGUCCCCUGCUUUCCUCAGGAAGACAAGGGAAACUUUUUCUGGCUACCCUGCUUACAAGAGCAACACUUCCUAAAUUAAAUGUUGCUCAGUGAUCUCCAAUCCUGCUUGUUUGUUUGCUGGUUUGAGACAGAGUCAUGCUCUGUCACCCAGGCUGGAGUGCAGUGGUGUGAUCUUGGCUCACUCUAAGCUCCACCUCAUGGGUUCAAGUGAUUAUCCUGCCUCAGCCUCCCAAGUAGCUGGGAUUACAGGUGCCCAGCACUACGCCUGGCUAAUUUUUGUAUUUUUAGUUGAGACGGGGUUUCACCAUGUUGGCCAGGCUAGUCUCAAACUCCUGACCUCAAGUGAUCCAUCUGCCUCGGCCUCCCAAAGUGCUGGGAUUACAGGUGUGACCCACUGGGCCCGGCCCAAUCCUGUUUUUUUAAUGUCCCUGGACACCCAGCUCAACUGCAUGUUUUGCUUUUCUUAAAGUUAGGUGAAGUCAGGCAAUGGAGCUUUUAGACAAGAAAAUGCAUAUAAACUGAGUGGAAUUGAUCAAACCUUGUAAUCCUGCUUCCUUAAAAUGCCUGUGUGCUGUUCUCUACUCCCUUUCUUCAACCACCAACUGAACACAGGGUUCUAGAGUUCUCAGGAGGGCAGAUACAAGAGAGCAGGAGGAUGGGUUCCUGAAUGACCACAUGGAAGGCUUCCCACUAAUAAGAAAUCUUAGUAUUGGACUUCACAUAAACACUGAGAAAAUGGCUCUUUGGGAAGCCACUAAAAUUUUUUUAUUUAUCUGUUAUAGCAGUUAGUUAUAGCCUUCCCAAUUCAAUGUCCUAUGUCUCUGAAUGUGCUUUAUUUAAAACCACAUCACUUAUCACCAUCUGACAUAUUCUGUAUUUGCCUGUCACUUUUUCUCCUGUGUCUUCUGUCCAGAGAAAGUGUUGGCCAACUAUAACCCAAGAGCCAAAUCUAGCUUGCUUCCUGUUUUCAUAUGUAAUUAUUUAUUGGAAUAUAGCCACAGCUAUUCAUUUCUGUAUUUAGAGAGGAGCUGUGUCUAUGCUACAACAGGAGAGUUCAGUAGUUGCAACAGAGAAACUGUAUGAUCUACAAACAAUAUUUACUAUCUGGCCCUUUACAGAAACAGUUUGCCAAUGUUUGUACUAGAAUGUAAACUCCAAGAAUGUAAAACCUUUGUCUCUUUAGUUUGCUGUUAUAUACCCAGCAUUAGAACAGUCUCUGGUCCAUUGCAGGUAUUCAUAUAAUAUUUGUUAAAUGCAUAAUUGAAUAAGUGAAUGAGUGUGCAGCAAGCCAAAAAUGUUCCAGAAAAAAAAUUCAUAUCUAAAUUUCUUGAACCUCUGAAUAUUGCCUUACAUGAAAAAUCAGACAAACAAAAAUCAAUCAUUGCAUGUGAUUAAGUUAAAGAUCUUGACCUAAAAGAUUAUCCAGUAUUAGCCAGAUGGACUCUAAAUACAAUCACAUGUAUCUGUAUAAGAGGGAAGCAGAAAGAAAUUUGACCACACAGACAGAAAAGGAGAGGGGAUGUGAUCACACAGGCAGAGGUUAGACUGAUGUACCACAAGCCAAUGAAUGUUGGUGGCCACUAGAAAUAUUAUCUAAAGGAUUAGGAAUUAUCUGUUUAGAACUUUCCUGAUGGCCACACCCUCCAAACCCCCGAUACUGAUUUCAGAUUUAUGACAUCCAGAACUGUAAAAGAAUAAAUUUCUAUUGUUUAAGCCACCAAGUUUCCAGUAAUUUGUUACAGAGGCAGCAGGAAACCAAUACAGAGGGGAAAAUGACUUAAAACUACUUCUAAUUCCAAGAUAAUGUUCAAAAUGUUCAUGCAAAAACUACUUCUUGUGUCAACAUUCAGUCUAUAUAAGUGCUCUUGAAAUUAAUUAUCACUAUAAUUCAGUCUCAUGAGGAAAAAUAUUUUGGCUUUUUUUGUGAACCAAAAAUUUAUAGCAAUUCAUAAGUUACAGUUUAUGGAUGAAAUUAAACAUAUUUGAGAUUAUUUUUAUAUUAGCACUUUAUAAAUCAGUUGCUGAAAUAGUCUGUUUUGAAAUAUUAGAUAUAACUGCCAGGAAUAAUUCUGAUAUUUUCUUUAACACAUUUUAGUCAUUUCUUGAAUUGCAAUGUUUUAUUAUCAUAAAUUGCCAAACUAAUAAAAUUAAUUGCUAUUGAAAAAUAAGAAUUGUGAAUGUCUUCAGGGUGAGGGCUGAGCAUGUAAAAAGUUUUUUUUUUUCCUUAAAAAAAUGGGACUCAGGGGAGGAAGUUCCCUUCUUCUCCUUCAGAGAAUGUGGUCAUGAUCAUUUCUCCCUGCAAAGACCUGGAAAGGCUGCAGCCGUUUUGGAAAUACGGACUUACACUUGGCUGAUAGGCUGAGUCUGGGAGAGUGCAAAGAUGAAAAAACACCUAGCACAUGGAUCGUGUCACUGAGCUACUGAAUCAAUCACGGAACCAUGCUCCAUCUGUACUUUGUGUUCUCUCAUAGAAUAAAUGUUCACUUUGGGUUGUGUAUCCAUUACUUGAAGCUAAAAAUCUCCCCAUGUAGGCAAUGAUCACUACAAUGGGUUACUUACGUUUCUGAGUAACGUACUCAUUUAAUGAAAAAAAGAUAGAGCAAAGUCCUCAAUCAUAUUUAUCAAUUAACAAGGGUCUGACUAAAACUACUUGAGGUUCCAGGGAGAUAACGUGGGAACCAAGAUAUUUAAUUGUCCAUCUGCCAUUUGAGGAUUUUUUUUUCCCCACAAAAGGAAUCAAUUUGUGUAGCCAUGAUGGUGACUUCAGCUGAUGCCUCUGUUGAGCACUGGCUGUACUGUUUAAAUGAUAUACUAAAAUGGACAAAUGGGCAGAAGCUUCUUCACAAAGAGCAAAUCUAUCUCUGGUUUGCGUGGUAACUUUCAUGCCUGUAGUAGAAUAAACUUCAAUAUAUCCUAUUUAUAAAAUUGCUCUGAAAAUGGAAGACAUCUUAAAAUGUUGGCAUGCACUCAAUAAGGUGGUAUUCUCUCCAAAUUUAAUAUAAAAUUAAUGUUUUAAAAUUGACAACAUCUUUGAAUCUACAAAAUACAUGUGCCCCACUCCAGACCUACUGCCACAUUGACUCUAUACCUACUAAUCUAACAAAUAGUGAGCUUGUUUGGAUUUUGCCAAAAGCAAAUAUUUAAACAUGAGAACAGUUAAUAUUCCCAAUUGCUGCUUCAUAUAAAACUAAGCUAGCAUUUAUUUUAUCUCCCUGUCUUGUUCCUUGUGCACUGUUCUGGCUCUGUAAGAACACUAGACUUUGCAUGAGAAAACUAAGGAUUCAACUGAAGAUGAUUUAUUAAGUUGGUGAUUUAUUUAAGUACAUUUAUUGUCAUUGUUUUGCAACACAUAAUACAAUUUCCAAAAUAACUAGGAAUUGUUUUCUUCUAUUUUAUAUUGUUUUUUGAAUUUCCUCUAUGAAGGAAUCAUUUAACCUUUCAGUUUAGGCACUAUAUUUUUUACCUCAUUAUGCAACAGAAAUGUUUUGAAAGUUGUAGUCUGAAACCCAGAAUUCAGUCUUAGCUCCACAACUUAGUGGUUACUUAGCUCUUCCAAUCUCUGCAUUUGCAUAAGUUUGGGGAUAACCGUAAUUAAGAUACCUUACCUUAAGUGGUAAGAUUUGGGGAUUAAAUGACAAAAUCAGAAAAGUCUUUGUUUGUGUUUAAGUUCUGUAUACAGAUGUUCCU
rnacentral:lncRNA from 1 species